rnacentral:lncRNA from 1 species
AGACAUCAAGACAUUUUUCAAUGAGAGAAAAAAGAAUAGCUACGUACAUCUAAUAAAUUGUCAAACUCAUGCAAUCAAACUAAAGCAUUAAGAUAUUAGUUUGUGGACGAGAUUUGUUGAAUGUUAUUCCUUCACAAUUAUCUUAUUUACAAUUUAUAAAGUUAAGGUGGUACAUAAAACUACAGGGAGAUAACUCUGUAAAAAUCAGCUGAACGUUUUAAUGACGUUCUAUUGUGAAGGAAAUAUUAAGCUUCUCAAUGAUCAAAAUUGGUGUUAGUCAAACUGAUAUAUGUCCAGUGACUAGUUUACGAUAAAGUGUGCGAUUCAAGUUUUUUCUUAUAUUUUUAUUUUUUUGACAAAUGGUCAAAGUAAAUAUUUUGUCAAAACUUUAUGAAAAUUAAACGAGCCAAAUUAAUUUUAGUGAAGGUGUUGGGUAUCACCUUAAUUAGUAAAAGUCGUUGAGAGACGAACACCAACAGGG